rnacentral:misc_RNA from 1 species
GUAGGUGAACCUGCGGAAGGAUCAUUAACAAAAUCUACAACACUAACCAUGUUGAACUGUUGGGCAAGCGGAGGGGGGGUAGAGAGUCAAAGGACAGCAAGAGGACGACCCCCAAGGAUCAUCGAUCUUCUCCCCUUAGGGGGGGAGGGAGAGAAUUCUAGUCGGUCGGCCGUCGCAUCUCUGGCCUUUGGUCUACCUGGAGGGCAAGAGGGGGGGAGGGCGUUGCGGUCUACCGCCUCACCCACCCUCUCACAGCCCCCUCUCUCUGUUUGCUGCCUUUGGGCACCACUGAUAUAGACUAUUGAUUAGACUGAUGUAACAACGAGAUAUCAUCUCUAACGUUAACAACUUUUAACAAUGGAUCUCUUGGCUCUU